rnacentral:rRNA from 1 species
AUGAUUGGCGAUGAAGGAAAGCGGCAUACUGUCUCCGAUGGCCACGUCUUACCACGACUGGCAUCGGAGAAGGUAGUUGUUGCCUCCACUUCGCCCUCUGCUAUCAACAUUGAAGAAGAAUUUGAAGUUGAUAUCAUGCAAAACAUCAACCGGAGCUCCAACACCCCCAUCUCCGUGCACCGUGUUAUGUUUGGACCCGAAGGCUGGGCGGACCUACCACAUGGAUUAUUGCACUCCAUCAUUGUCCUGUUGGGUUCAACCCAUGACCUUCUUGCAUUCAUCGCCACCUGCCCUAGCUGGUAUGCCGCAUUCAUGUCAAUCAAUUCUACCUUAGGCGAGCUCUUCCCACCUGUUAUUUUCCGGAACUGUGCCGACCAGACAAGCUCAGCUGGCUCUAACAUUGGAAACACAUGGGAGCUCAUUGAUCCUGUAUAUCCAAGUACUCUGUUGUGUCGCUUGACCCCUCCAAGUAUUUUGGACAAAAUGGCAGUCGUCAAAUGUUCUUAUGGUCAUGCGAUUUUCUGCAACGAGAGAUCCCUUGUCAUUAUGGACGUGCUCACUGGCACUACAGUUGCAGCUCCACCUUUCCCAUUGAGUCAACUGUGCUACAAAACCUUCAUAUCUCCAGAGGCGUCACCAGAUUCAUAUCUAUUUGUUAGCAGCCCGCACUGCCUGUACGCUUGGCGAGUUGGGAGCCCCUCUUGGUUGCACUGCGAUUUUCUAAAUGCACAUUUGAUCAAGGAGAUGGUGUCCUUCAAAGGCCGGGUCAUUAUGAGGAUGCGUCAAACACUAUACACCGUGCAUUUGGCACCUCAGUUUCAUGUUGAGGUACUAAGAGUUGAUUGCAGAGAUUAUAUGGACCCGUACGUGCUUUCCGGAAAUUUGGUGGCUUGUGAAGACACACUUCUCCUACUUGGUCGUAACGGGGAAGCCUUCUCUAUUGACUUCUCAACUGAACCUGCAAAGUAUGUGAGCGUGGAAGAGGAAGGCUUGAAGAAGUGGGCGUUCUUCUUUGGCGAGAAACGUAAUAGACAGCCACGACUCUUAGUGAAUCCAGAGAGAAUGGGUUUAAGGGGUGGCCUUGUCUAUCAGUUGGAUGAAAAUGCUCGGGUAUUUUCAUACCCAGUAGAUGGCAACCAAAAUGAGGAGUUGGAGUCAGAACCUUGUUUUGCGACGAUCAAUGCUUAUCUUGCUCGCAAUCCUACAUCCUUUGCAGCUUGGGUAUGA